GGGUUGUGAGGUUAAGCGACUAAGCGUACACGGUGGAUGCCCUGGCAGUCAGAGGCGAUGAAGGACGUGCUAAUCUGCGAUAAGCGUCGGUAAGGUGAUAUGAACCGUUAUAACCGGCGAUUUCCGAAUGGGGAAACCCAGUGUGUUUCGACACACUAUCAUUAACUGAAUCCAUAGGUUAAUGAGGCGAACCGGGGGAACUGAAACAUCUAAGUACCCCGAGGAAAAGAAAUCAACCGAGAUUCCCCCAGUAGCGGCGAGCGAACGGGGAGCAGCCCAGAGCCUGAAUCAGUGUGUGUGUUAGUGGAAGCGUCUGGAAAGGCGCGCGAUACAGGGUGACAGCCCCGUACACAAAAAUGCACAUGCUGUGAGCUCGAUGAGUAGGGCGGGACACGUGGUAUCCUGUCUGAAUAUGGGGGGACCAUCCUCCAAGGCUAAAUACUCCUGACUGACCGAUAGUGAACCAGUACCGUGAGGGAAAGGCGAAAAGAACCCCGGCGAGGGGAGUGAAAAAGAACCUGAAACCGUGUACGUACAAGCAGUGGGAGCACGCUUCGGCGUGUGACUGCGUACCUUUUGUAUAAUGGGUCAGCGACUUAUAUUCUGUAGCAAGGUUAACCGAAUAGGGGAGCCGAAGGGAAACCGAGUCUUAACUGGGCGUUAAGUUGCAGGGUAUAGACCCGAAACCCGGUGAUCUAGCCAUGGGCAGGUUGAAGGUUGGGUAACACUAACUGGAGGACCGAACCGACUAAUGUUGAAAAAUUAGCGGAUGACUUGUGGCUGGGGGUGAAAGGCCAAUCAAACCGGGAGAUAGCUGGUUCUCCCCGAAAGCUAUUUAGGUAGCGCCUCGUGAAUUCAUCUCCGGGGGUAGAGCACUGUUUCGGCAAGGGGGUCAUCCCGACUUACCAACCCGAUGCAAACUGCGAAUACCGGAGAAUGUUAUCACGGGAGACACACGGCGGGUGCUAACGUCCGUCGUGAAGAGGGAAACAACCCAGACCGCCAGCUAAGGUCCCAAAGUCAUGGUUAAGUGGGAAACGAUGUGGGAAGGCCCAGACAGCCAGGAUGUUGGCUUAGAAGCAGCCAUCAUUUAAAGAAAGCGUAAUAGCUCACUGGUCGAGUCGGCCUGCGCGGAAGAUGUAACGGGGCUAAACCAUGCACCGAAGCUGCGGCAGCGACGCUGAUGCGUUGUUGGGUAGGGGAGCGUUCUGUAAGCCUGCGAAGGUGUGCUGUGAGGCAUGCUGGAGGUAUCAGAAGUGCGAAUGCUGACAUAAGUAACGAUAAAGCGGGUGAAAAGCCCGCUC
rnacentral:rRNA from 1 species